AGAGUUUGAUCCUGGCUCAGGACGAACGCUGGCGGCGUGCCUAAUACAUGCAAGUCGAACGAACUCUGGUAUUGAUUGGUGCUUGCAUCAUGAUUUACAUUUGAGUGAGUGGCGAACUGGUGAGUAACACGUGGGAAACCUGCCCAGAAGCGGGGGAUAACACCUGGAAACAGAUGCUAAUACCGCAUAACAACUUGGACCGCAUGGUCCGAGUUUGAAAGAUGGCUUCGGCUAUCACUUUUGGAUGGUCCCGCGGCGUAUUAGCUAGAUGGUGGGGUAACGGCUCACCAUGGCAAUGAUACGUAGCCGACCUGAGAGGGUAAUCGGCCACAUUGGGACUGAGACACGGCCCAAACUCCUACGGGAGGCAGCAGUAGGGAAUCUUCCACAAUGGACGAAAGUCUGAUGGAGCAACGCCGCGUGAGUGAAGAAGGGUUUCGGCUCGUAAAACUCUGUUGUUAAAGAAGAACAUAUCUGAGAGUAACUGUUCAGGUAUUGACGGUAUUUAACCAGAAAGCCACGGCUAACUACGUGCCAGCAGCCGCGGUAAUACGUAGGUGGCAAGCGUUGUCCGGAUUUAUUGGGCGUAAAGCGAGCGCAGGCGGUUUUUUAAGUCUGAUGUGAAAGCCUUCGGCUCAACCGAAGAAGUGCAUCGGAAACUGGGAAACUUGAGUGCAGAAGAGGACAGUGGAACUCCAUGUGUAGCGGUGAAAUGCGUAGAUAUAUGGAAGAACACCAGUGGCGAAGGCGGCUGUCUGGUCUGUAACUGACGCUGAGGCUCGAAAGUAUGGGUAGCAAACAGGAUUAGAUACCCUGGUAGUCCAUACCGUAAACGAUGAAUGCUAAGUGUUGGAGGGUUUCCGCCCUUCAGUGCUGCAGCUAACGCAUUAAGCAUUCCGCCUGGGGAGUACGGCCGCAAGGCUGAAACUCAAAGGAAUUGACGGGGGCCCGCACAAGCGGUGGAGCAUGUGGUUUAAUUCGAAGCUACGCGAAGAACCUUACCAGGUCUUGACAUACUAUGCAAAUCUAAGAGAUUAGACGUUCCCUUCGGGGACAUGGAUACAGGUGGUGCAUGGUUGUCGUCAGCUCGUGUCGUGAGAUGUUGGGUUAAGUCCCGCAACGAGCGCAACCCUUAUUAUCAGUUGCCAGCAUUAAGUUGGGCACUCUGGUGAGACUGCCGGUGACAAACCGGAGGAAGGUGGGGAUGACGUCAAAUCAUCAUGCCCCUUAUGACCUGGGCUACACACGUGCUACAAUGGAUGGUACAACGAGUUGCGAACUCGCGAGAGUAAGCUAAUCUCUUAAAGCCAUUCUCAGUUCGGAUUGUAGGCUGCAACUCGCCUACAUGAAGUCGGAAUCGCUAGUAAUCGCGGAUCAGCAUGCCGCGGUGAAUACGUUCCCGGGCCUUGUACACACCGCCCGUCACACCAUGAGAGUUUGUAACACCCAAAGUCGGUGGGGUAACCUUUUAGGAACCAGCCGCCUAAGGUGGGACAGAUGAUUAGGGUGAAGUCGUAACAGGUAACC
rnacentral:rRNA from 2 species